rnacentral:rRNA from 1 species
UACGUAGGGUGCGAGCGUUAAUCGGAAUUACUGGGCGUAAAGCGUGCGCAGGCGGUUAUUUAAGACAGGGGUGAAAGCCCCGAGCUUAACUUGGGAAUUGCGCUUGUGACUGGCGUGCUGGAGUGUGGCAGAGGGAGGUGGAAUUCCACGUGUAGCAGUGAAAUGCGUAGAGAUGUGGAGGAACACCGAUGGCGAAGGCAGCCUCCUGGGCCAGCACUGACGCUCAUGCACGAAAGCGUGGGGAGCAAACAGG